rnacentral:rRNA from 1 species
AUUGAACGCUGGCGGCAGGCCUAACACAUGCAAGUCGAGCGGAUGAAGGGAGCUUUCUCCUGUAUUCAGCUGCGGACGGGUGAGUAAUUCCUAGGAAUCUGCCUGGUAUUGGGGGAUAACGUCCGUACACGGGCGCUAAUACCGCAUACGUCCUGAUGUAGAAAGUGGUGGAUCUUCGGACCUCACGCUAUCAGAUGAGCCUAGUUCGGAUUAGCUAGUUGGUUUGGUAAAGGCCUACCAAGGCGACGAUCCGUAACUGGUCUGAGAGGAUGAUCAGUCACACUGGAACUGAGACACGGUCCAGACUCCUACGGGAGGCAGCAGUGGGGAAUAUUGGACAAUGGGCGAAAGCCUGAUCGAGCCAUGCCGCGUGUGUGAAGAAGGUCUUCGGAUUGUAAAGCACUUUAAGUUGGGAGGAAGGGAAGUAAGUUAAUACCUUGCUGUUUUGACGUUACCAACAGAAUAAGCAACGGCUAACUUCGUG